AGAGUUUGAUCAUGGCUCAGGACGAACGCUGGCGGCGUGCCUAACACAUGCAAGUCGAGCGGAGACAGUGAGUAGCUUGCUAUGAACUGUUUUAGCGGCGGACGGGUGAGUAACGCGUGAGCAACCUUUCCCAGACAGGGGGAUAACACACCGAAAGGUGUACUAAUACCGCAUAAGACCACGGAAUCACAUGGUUCUGAGGUAAAAGAUUUAUCGGUUUGGGGUGGGCUCGCGUCCGAUUAGGUAGUUGGUGAGGUAACGGCCCACCAAGCCGACGAUCGGUAGCCGACCUGAGAGGGUGAUCGGCCACAUUGGGACUGAGACACGGCCCAAACUCCUACGGGAGGCAGCA
rnacentral:rRNA from 1 species